rnacentral:rRNA from 1 species
GACGAACCGUGCGAACGUUGUUCGGAAUCACUGGGCAUAAAGGGCGCGUAGGCGGCUUGUCAAGUCAGUGGUGAAAUCUCGCUGCUUAACUGCGAAACUGCCAUUGAUACUGUAGGACUUGAGUAUAGUUGCUGUGGGCGGAAUAUGACAUGUAGUGGUGAAAUACUUAGAGAUGUCAUAGAACACCGAUUGCGAAGGCAGCUCACAAAACUAUAACUGACACUGAGGCUCGAAAGUGCGGGGAUCAAACAGG